GUUGUGUGGUUAAGCGACUAAGCGUACACGGUGGAUGCCUGGGCAGUCAGAGGCGAUGAAGGACGUACUAACUUGCGAUACGCGCAGAUAAGGCAGUAAGAGCCGUUUGAGUCUGCGAUUUCCGAAUGGGGAAACCCAACUGCAUAAGCAGUUACUGUUAACUGAAUACAUAGGUUAACAGAGCAAACCGGGGAACUGAAACAUCUAAGUACCCAGAGGAGAAGAAAUCAACCGAGAUUCCGGUAGUAGCGGCGAGCGAACCUGGAUUAGCCCUCAAGCACUGGGUUAAGUAGGUGAACAAGCUGGAAAGCUUGGCGAUACAGGGUGAUAGCCCGGCAACCGACGCUUCAUCGAGCGUGAAAUCGAUUAGGGCAGGACACGUGAUAACCUGUCUGAAUAUGGGGACCAUCCUCCAUGGCUAAAUAUUCCUGACUGACCGAUAGUGAACCAGUACCGUGAGGGAAAGGCGAAAAGAACCCGGUGAGGCAGUGAAAUAGAACCUGAAACCAUGUACGUACAAGCUGUAGGAGCUCCUACGUGGUGUGACAGCGUACCUUUGUAUAAUGGGUCAGCGACUUAUAUUCAGUGGCAAGAAUAAUCGUAUUGUGAGCUGUAGCGAAAGCGAGUCUUAACUGGGCGCUCAGUCUCUGGAUAUAGACCGGAAACCGGGUGAUAGAGCCAUGGGCAGGUUGAAGGUUGAGUAACAUCAACUGGAGGACCGAACCGACUAAUAGUGAAAAAUUAGCGGAUGACUUGUGUUUAGGGUGAAAGGCCAAUCAAACUCGGAGAUAGCUGGUUCUCCCGAAAUCUAUUUAGGUAGCGCCUCGGACGAAUACUACUGGGGUAGAGCACUGUUAAGGAAAGGGGUCAUCCAGACUUACCAACCCUUUGCAAACCCGAAUACCAGUAAGUACUAUCCGGGAGACAGACGGCGGGUGCUAACGUCCGUCGUGGAGAGGGAAACAACCCAGACCGCCAGCUAAGGUCCCAAUGUAUUGCUAAGCGGGAAACGAGGGGGGAAGGUUCAGACAGCUAGGAUGUUGGCUUAGAAGCAGCCAUCAUUUAAAGAAAGCGUAAUAGCUCACUAGUCGAGUCAGCCUGCGAGGAAGAUGUAACGGGUCUGAGCAAUACACCGAAGCUGCGGCAAUAUCUUUAGAUAUUGGGUAGGGGAGCGUUCUGUAAGCCGUUGAAGGUGAAUCGUAAGGUUUGCUGGAGGUAUCAGAAGUGCGGAUGCUGACAUGAGUAACGACAACGGUGAAAACCUCCUCGCCGGAAGACCAAGGGUUCCUGUCCAACGUUAAUCGGGGCAGGGUGAGUCGACCCGAAGGUGAGGCCGAAAGGCGUAAUCGAUGGGAAACGGGUUAAUAUUCCCGUACUUUGACUAUUGCGAUGGGGACGGAGAAGGCUAGGUGGGCCAGGCGACGGUUGUCCUGGUUCAAGAGCGUAGGCUUGAGAGUUAGGUAAAUCCGGCUCUCUAAGGCUGAGACACGACGUCGAGCUGCUACGGCAGUGAAGUCAUUGAUGCCAUGCUUCCAGGGGAAGCCUCUAAGCUUCAGAUAGUUAGGAAUCGUACAUCAAACCGACACAGGUGGUCGGGUAGAGAAUCUCAAGGCGCUUGAGAGAACUCGGGUGAAGGAACGAGGCAAAAUGGUACCGUAACUUCGUGAGAAGGUACGCUCUUGAUGGUGAAGUCCCUCGCGGAUGGAGCUGACGAGAGUCGCAGAUACCAGGUGGCUGCAACUGUUUAUUAUAACGCAGCACUGUGCAAAAUCGCAAGAUGACGUAUACGGUGUGGCGCCCGCCCGGUGCCGGAAGGUUAAUUGAUGGGGUUAGCGCAAGCGAAGCUCUUGAUCGAAGCCCCGGUAAACGGCGGCCGUAACUAUAACGGUCCUAAGGUAGCGAAAUUCCUUGUCGGGUAAGUUCCGACCUGCACGAAUGGCGUAAUGAUGGCCACGCUGUCUCCACCCGAGACUCAGUGAAAUUGAAAUCGCUGUGAAGAUGCAGUGUACCCGCGGCUAGACGGAAAGACCCCGUGAACCUUUACUACAGCUUGGCACUGAACAUUGAACCUACAUGUGUAGGAUAGGUGGGAGGCUAUGAAGACGUGACGCCAGUUGCGUUGGAGCCGUCCUUGAAAUACCACCCUUGUAUGUUUGAUGUUCUAACUUAGACCCAUUAUCUGGGUUGAGGACAGUGCCUGGUGGGUAGUUUGACUAUGGCGGUCUCCUCCCAAAGAGUAACGGAGGAGCCGGAAGGUGGGCUAAUCACGGUUGGACAUCGUGAGGUUAGUGCAAUGACAUAAGCCCGCUUAACUGCGAGAAUGACGGUUCGAGCAGGUGCGAAACCAGGUCAUAGUGAUCCGGUGGUUCUGUAUGGAAGGGCGAUCGUUCAACGGAUAAACGGUACUCCGGGGAUAAUAGGCUGAUACCGCCCAAGAGUUCAUAUCGACGGCGGUGUUUGGCACCUCGAUGUCGGCUCAUCACAUCCUGGGGCUGAAGUCGGUCCGAAGGGUAUGGCUGUUCGCCAUUUAAAGUGGUACGCGAGCUGGGUUUAGAACGUCGUGAGACAGUUCGGUCCCUAUCGGCCGUUGGCGAUGGAAGAUUGAAGGGACUGCUCCUAGUACCAGAGGACCUGUGUGGACGAACCUCUGGUGAUCUGGUUGUGUCGCCAGACGCAUUGCCCGGUAGCUAAGUUCGGAAUUGAGGAGCGCUGAAAGCAUCCAAGCGCGAAGCGAGCCCUGAGAGGAGUCUUCCCUGAUACUUUGCGCAUCCCAAAGGGUUGUUCGAGACUAGAACGUUGAUAGGCAGGGUGUGUAAGCGUUGUGAGGCGUUGAGCUAACCUGUACUAAAUGCCCGUGAGGCUUAAACAUACAACACCAACGGGUUUUGUA
rnacentral:rRNA from 1 species